GGGGCUGUAGCUCACUGGUAGAGCGCCCACCUUACACAUGUAAGGCACUGGUUCAAUCCUCAGCUCCA
rnacentral:tRNA from 1 species